rnacentral:rRNA from 1 species
AGGAGAGUUUGAUCCUGGCUCAGAACGAACGCUGGCAGCGUGGAUUAGGCAUGCAAGUCGAACGGGAUCCGGUAGGCAGCAAUGUCGGCCGGUGAGAGUGGCGGAAGGGCGAGGAACACGUGGGCAACCUGUCUCUGAGGUGGGGAAAACCGCUGGAAACGGCGGCUAAUACCGAAUGUAGCGCCCGCUCGCAUGGGCGGAGCGCCAAAGGGGGCGAAAGCUCCCCCUCUCCGAGGGGCCCGCGCACCAUCAGCUUGUUGGCGGGGUAACGGCCCACCAAGGCUCACGGUUAGCUGGUCUGAGAGGAUGGCCAGCCGCACUGGGACUGAGAUACUGCCCAGACUCCUACGGGAGGCUGCAGUCGAGGAUCAUUUGCAAUGGGCGAAAGCCUGACAAUGCGACGCUGCGUGGAGGAUGAAGGCCCUCGGGUUGUAAACUCCUGUCAUGGGGGAAAAGGAAACCCUGCCCAAUACGCAGGGGAUUUGAUGGUACCCCAAGAGGAAGCGACGGCUAACUCUGUGCCAGCAGCCGCGGUAAUACAGAGGUCGCAAGCGUUGUUCGGAUUUACUGGGCGUAAAGGGCGCGUAGGCGGCCGUGCGUGUCGGAUGUGAAAUCUCCGGGCUCAACCCGGAAAGUGCGUCCGAAACUGCAUGGCUCGAGUUCGGGAGAGGGAAUCGGAAUGCAGGGUGUAGCGGUGAAAUGCGUUGAUAUCCUGCAGAACACCGGAGGCGAAGGCGGAUUCCUGGAACGAAACUGACGCUCAGGCGCGAAAGUCGGGGGAGCAAACAGGAUUAGAUACCCUGGUAGUCCCCU